UGUUCAUCUAUAAGAGUCCUGGAGAUUCUCUGCUUCGUCUUGGUCCUAAGGAGUAUGUUGAGUUGUGGAAUUGUCUUGCGCAAUGGCGUGCAAUAUUUGACAGCUACGAUAGGGAUAGGAACGGAAAGAUGAAUUCUACUGAGCUAAGAGACGCUUUCUAUCAUCUCGGGUACA